rnacentral:rRNA from 1 species
UACGUAGGUGGCAAGCGUUGUCCGGAAUUAUUGGGCGUAAAGCGCGCGCAGGCGGUCCUUUAAGUCUGAUGUGAAAGCCCACGGCUCAACCGUGGAGGGUCAUUGGAAACUGGUCGGCUGGAGGGCAGUAGAGGUAGGCGGAAUUCCGGGUGGAGUGGUGAAAUGCGUAGAUAUCUGGAGGAACACCGGUGGCGAAGGCGGCAUCCUGGACCAACACUGACGCUGAGUGAGCGAAAGCCAGGGGAGCAAACGGG